rnacentral:tRNA from 1 species
GGCGGUGUAGCUCAGUUGGCAGAGCAGCGGACUCAUAAGCCGCGGGUCACUGGUUCGAAUCCAGUCGCCGCCA